ensembl:lncRNA
AUGUUCUUGGUGUGCGUUUUGAUGUACGCAAAGAUAGAACAACAGGGACAUGCAGGCAAGUUCUUGUCAAUGAUAAAUUCAUGUACGUUCCUAUCAUGGGAUCCCUUUCAUCUGUUUCGAAACAGUGAACUUUGUAGCAGUUUCCAAAAAACAAAACCAAACAUGGAGGGAUUUUACAGAGAUUUAAAUGACGGCUCCUACUUCAAAAAUCACAGUUUAUUCUCACAACAAGAGCAUGCUCUCCAGAUCCAGCUCUACUAUGACGAUUUUGAAACUGCUAAUCCUUUAGGCUCAAAAAAGGUUGGUUGUAUUUAUUUUGUUUUGAGAAAUUUGCCACCAAAGUUAAAUUCUGUGUUAAUGAACAUUCAUCUUGUAGCCCUUUUGCAUUCAGAAGACUUGAAAAAGUAUGGGUUUGAUCCUAUCCUAAAGCCACUUGUUGAUGAUCUAAAGAUUUUAGAGACUGAAGGAAUGCAAGUGCCCUUUUCAGCCACACCUGUGAGAGGUUCACUUUUUCAGAUUACAUGUGACAACUUGGCUUUACAUAGCAUUUUUGGUUUUGUUGAAUCAUUUAGUGCAAACUAUUGUUGUAGAUUUUGUUUAACUGAUAAGACAGAGUUGCAGUCAGUUUUUAGUGAAGAUCAUGUAGGCUUAACACUGCGUUCCAAAGAACUUCAUUACAAAUACUGUGGUGCCAUUCAACAAAAUCCUGCUUUGGCCUCAACAUUUGGUGUAAAAAGAAAUUGUCUACUCAAUUCACUUCGGCUUUUCCAUAUUUCAGACAACUAUGCUGUAGACAUAAUGCAUGAUCUACUAGAGGGAGUGGUGCAGUAUGAGUUAAAGCUUGUAUUUCAGUACUUGAUUAAGACCUCUUUGAUAUCCUUGAAUUCAUUGUCACAGAGAAUUAUAAGCUUUAACUACGGAUAUGCACAGAGAAGGAACAGGCCAGGUGGGCUAAAACUGGAUGACAACAGCAAAGAUCUUGGGCUUAAUGCUGUGCAGUCAUGGUGUCUUUUGUGGAAUAGCCCAUUGAUGUUUGGAGAUAUCGUUUGCAGAAAUGAUGGCCAUUGGAACUUGCUACUUUUGUUAGUUCAAAUUGUGAACAUUGUUUUUUCACCCAUUAUAACUCACAGCAUGACUUGCUAUUUGAAACAUCUGAUUGCCGAUCAUCACAAGGCUUUCAAAUCUCUCUUUCCAGAACGGAAUUUGAUUCCAAAGCACCACCUAAUGAUCCAUUACCCACGCUGCAUUAGAAAAAUUGGGCCACUCAUACAUAUGUGGUGCAUGAGAUUUGAAGCAAAGCACAAGUUCUUCAAAAGAUCUGUAAAGAACUUUAAAAAUAUCACAAAAACACUAGUAAAAAAACAUCAGAAUCAAUUAGCCUUUCAUUUUGAAAAUUUUUAUUUUAAAAGAUUACAGUUUGGCUCCAUUAAUGAAGUCUUGGCCAGCAGUUUAAAAGGCAGUGAAGCACUGAAUAAAAUGUUUGACGUUUCUUCUAGUGUUUCUACAACUUCCUGGGUCAAAAGUUAUGGUACAGAAUAUCAAGUUGGGAUGUAUGUUUGUUCUGGUGUUGAAAAUGAGAUGCCUUUGUUCAGUAAGACUGUCAAUAUAAUUGUUAGAGAUUGCAAUGCUUAUCUUCUAACUUGUAAGGUCUCAACAGUAUAUUUCAAUGAUCACUUAAAUGCAUUUGUUAUUGAGGAUGGAUUAGAUGUCUUUGCACUGAUCUCUGUGUAG